AUUGAACGCUGGCGGCAGGCUUAACACAUGCAAGUCGAACGGAAACAGGGCGCAUGGUCCUGACUAGUGGCGCACGGGGGUGUAAUGCACCUGAACGUCCGCCUGCGUGUGGGAUAUCUAGUCCAAAGAGGAGCUAAUACCGCACACGCUCCAUGGAUGAAAGCGGGGGACCUCAAGGGACCGCGCGAUUGGAGCUGCCGAUGUCGGAUUAGCUAGUUGGUGGGGUAAAGGCUCACCAAGCCAACGAUCUGUAGCUGGUCUGAGAGGAUGAGCAGCCACACUGGAACUGAGACACGGUCCAGACUCCUACGGGAGGCAGCAGUGGGGAAUAUUGGACAAUGGGCGCAAGCCUGAUCCAGCAAUGCCGCGUGCGUGAAGAAGGUCUUCGGAUUGUAAAGUGCUUUUGGUCGGGAGGAAACGGAGCUAGUUAAUACCUGGGGGUAUUGACGGUACCAAAAGAAUAAGCACCGGCUAACUACGUG
rnacentral:rRNA from 1 species